rnacentral:lncRNA from 1 species
CUGAGGUUCUAUUAUAGUUUGUGUUCAUAUUUUUAAUUAGUUUUCGAUUUUUAUUUUCCAUUUUAAAUAAUGUAGUUUUUGUCAUUUAUUAUUUUUUUUAUAUGUUUUUGCAUAGAUUUAUAGUACAUUCUGUAUAGGGUUUAGUUUAAUAAAUUUUAGUGCAUUAAGUUAACAAGCUGAAAUAUAUAUAUUUUUUUAUGUUUAAUAACCCUGUUAGAAAAACACUACAUGUUUACAUUUUGCUCAAAAAUGUGUAUUUAUGGCCACGGUAUAUAUCCAAAACAUAUGCAUUUGUUAAAUUAAGGGAGAUAAAACAACAUUGCACAUGUAUGAUACUUGAGAAGUGUUUUCCUUUCCCUGAGAUCACACUUUUAUUAAAUGUUCUAAGUGCCAAUUUACUUUUUGUGAAAACAAUGAUGUUCUUGGAUAAUAAUCUAUUAAAAAUGGAAAAACGCUGUAUAUAUAUAGGCUAUGUCUGAUUUUUUUUAUAGAUUUUUUUUUUUUUUUUUUUUUACAAAGAACAUGAAUUUGCUAAGCAGAUUUUUAUUAUUAUUAUUAUUAUUAUUAUAUUUUUUAUAAAGCUGUCACAGGAACAUGACAUAUUAAGUAAAUUGCCAUAUUUAGAAUAAAAAAUGUAAUGCUUGUUAUUUAAAAAAGUCGAAAUAGCUCUAAGAUUAAAUUUUUUUUUCAGCAGUGAGACAAAACGUAUGCGCCGCCCACUCGCAUUCAUAUGACGUCACGUACGUCAGGACCCGACGUGAUCUGCAUUAAGUCUAGUUAUGGCAUCUUCUGGGUAUUUUGGUGACGGUCCUCCGAUGCGCGAGCGUGACCCCUACUUCACUGAGGCCAUCAGCCAGAGGAUGCGCGUGCCCGAGCGGCUGAGGGUCGGUCCAGUGCCUCACGCGCACGCACCUGCAGACCAAAGACAUGAAGAGCUACCUGCUGCCUACAGCAUGCACAUCCCAGACAGACUGGCCUUAACAGAUGCUCCUGAUCUGAGUCCACACCCUCUCUUCACUAAACACACUUCAUCAAUGUGGGACCUGCAGCAUGGGUCCUGGGACAGGGAGGGGUUCAUGAGAGAGCCUGUUCAGAGUCCACUGCGAAGGUCUUACAGUGAUCAGGGCUUUGGUCGAACCCCACCUGGAACCCCCACACACUCCAGACAAACACUCUACUCCCAGUCUCCACGCAAUAUUGGACGUCCAGCUGUCGUGCAUACACACCCGUCCCCCCCAAAGCCCCCAGGACUCCCCUCCAUCCCACCCAACCUGCUGUCCCCUCAGAGCAUGCUGCAGGCUGCCAAGGAGCUGGGCCAGCAGGCGUCUCAGAAACUCCUCCAGACCGUCACCACAAAAUACUCCUCCAGGUUUGGUUACCCAGAAAACCAUCCCUCUCAGGCUGUGGAGGUUCAACCUGAUCAAAGCAGGACAAGUGCCUCGCAGGAGCUCUGGCUCAGUCCUGAAGAGGACACAGGUACCGCUGUCGAGUUCAUGGUGCUCCGCAGACAGGUGCUGAAGAUGAGCAGGAGGAUAGCAGGGCUGGAGAGACAGAGCGCAGAGCACAGACAGACGGAGCUGCUGCUGUUCUCUCUGUUACUGUCUGCCUGUCUGCUCAACGGCUGGCUGUGGAUGCGCAGAUGA